GAUGAACGCUGGCGGCGUGCUUAACACAUGCAAGUCGAACGAAGCACUCUACUUGAUUUCCUUCGGGAAUGAUUGUUUUGUGACUGAGUGGCGGACGGGUGAGUAACGCGUGGGUAACCUGCCUCAUACAGGGGGAUAACAGUUGGAAACGACUGCUAAUACCGCAUAAGCGCACAGCUUCGCAUGAAGUAGUGUGAAAAACUCCGGUGGUAUGGGAUGGACCCGCGUUGGAUUAGCUUGUUGGUGGGGUAACGGCCCACCAAGGCGACGAUCCAUAGCCGACCUGAGAGGGUGACCGGCCACAUUGGGACUGAGACACGGCCCAA
rnacentral:rRNA from 1 species